rnacentral:rRNA from 1 species
UAGCGGAGGAAAAGAAACUAACUAGGAUUCCCUCAGUAACUGCGAGUGAACAGGGAUAAGCCCAGCACCGAAGUCUGUGGUCAGUUGAUCACUAGACAUUGUGGUGUUUAGGUCGUCCGUUGGGUGCGCUGCUCCAUCCUAAGUCCAUCACUGAGUACGGUAUAAUGGACAUGGCCCAUAGAGGGUGAAAGGCCCGUGGGGGUGGAGUUCAGGCAGGUCAGUGCACUUCUGGUUAGACCUUGGAGUCGGGUUGUUUGUGAAUGCAGCCCAAAGUGGGUGGUAGACUCCAUCCAAGGCUAAAUACUAGCACGAGUCCGAUAGCGAACAAGUACCGUGAGGGAAAGUUGAAAAGUACUUUGAAGAGAGAGUAAACAGUGCGUGAAACCGGUCAGAGGUAAGCAGAUGGAGUUGAACUGAAAGCUCUGGGAAUUCAGCUGGUGAGUAUGGUUCAAGCUUGGUUGAAUCGGUUGGACCUCGGAGUCUGUGUAGCAGCAGGCCUUCAACGGUGCGCGUUGCACUUAUCAAGUGUUUGUGCGCUCCGGGGACUGUCCGGACCGACUUGCCAGUGCAUUUUCUCAGAGUGAUCACCACGACCGACAUUGCUGUCUGGCCGUUGCGGUCAAACCAGUCAAGCUUGGUCCUUGUGGCUCUGUUUGAUUGGGAUGGCUGUGUGCUCGAUGGUUUACCGGUGGCUUGCUGCCGGCUAAUCCUACAAGCAACUACAGCUGGCUGCCUCGGUUCUGUGCAGUGUGUCGGAGACGGCGGCUUUUGUGUGUGUGUACAUGCCUGUGUUGGACAGCGUGUCUGGAUUGGAUUGUUCAGUUGCUUGUUUCGGCAAGCCUGAUGAUAAUUCGGGCACGUUGGUCUGACGGUUGUGUGCAUGACACGUGAGAGGGCCGAUAGUCUGUGGUGUAGUGGUAGACGAUCCAUUUGACCCGUCUUGAAACACGGACCAAGGAGAGUAACAUGUACGCGAGUCAUUGGGCGUUACGAAACCCAAAGGCGUAGUGAAAGUGAAGGUUUGGCUUGUCCAGACUGAGGUGAGAUCUGGUCGUUUCUCAUGCGUGGUACCACCAAGCUUGGAGCGAUCAGCGCAUCACCGGCCCGUCCCAUGACAAUUGUUUUGGCAGUACCCAGUCGGGGCGGAGCAUGAGCGUACAUGUUGAGACCCGAAAGAUGGUGAACUAUGCCUGUGCAGGUUGAAGCCAGAGGAAACUCUGGUGGAGGACCGCAGCGGUUCUGACGUGCAAAUCGAUCGCCAGACAUGGGUAUAGGGGCGAAAGACUAAUC